GCGUAGAUCGCAAUUGUUCAUGGCAUUAAACUGCACAUGUCAUACCCAGUUCCAAAUGUUUCAAAAUCACAGAGUAUGAUUCUAUCCAUGUUUGCAAGAUCGAGAGUCGAAAGGAUUAUCGUAAACAUGCUACUUACAAGCUUUUAGGCGAGGUUAUGAAGAAUAGAUAUAGUUCUACGCAAGGGGGUCCGAGAGCUGUAGAUUUGCUUCAAUUGGUCUUAAAUGAUCUUAAUGUUCGGAUCUCAUAUUCUACAGCAUGGAGAGCUAGAGAGGUUGCAGUAAACUCUAUAAGGGGUGAUGAUAUGGCUAGUUACUGGUUUUUACCUACAUAUCUGUAUCUUCUACAAUUAGCAAAUCCCGGUACAAUCUGUCAUCUCCACUCCACUCCUGAAUCUAAUGGUCGGCAGCGCUUCAAAUAUGUAUUCGUUUCUCUCUCGGCUUCUAUAAAAGGUUGGAAAUAUAUGAGGAAAGUCGUUGUUGUAGACAGAACGCAGCUAGUCGGUCGUUACAAAGGAUGCCUCCUUAUAGCAUGUGCACAAGACAGGAACUUACAUAUC
rnacentral:sRNA from 1 species